UGAUGUUUGAUGAACAUACUGCUGUUGAGUGCUUACAUUAGAAAAUAGUUUAUAUACUUUUAAAGCAGUCUUGAUGGUAAUAUGGAUCAAUUGGAGUUGAGCCAACUCUUGAAAGAAUACACAAAAGCCGUAAGAAAAAAGAUCAAAGCCUUUGAAACAUUUAAGUUCUUGGAUCAAUGUAAAAUCAACAAUGUAUAUCCGAUGUCCAUCUUUAACAGUAUACUACCAGUAUCUUCUAAAAGAGUCUUAGACAACACACAAAAAAAUUUGCAUGAAGGUAGCUCUUUCAGACGCUAAACGAAAAUUCUAUUCAAAUACUAAUAAGAUGUCGAAUCUAGAAAUACAAUUGCAGCGUCUAAAAGUACAGGAGAGAACACUUGUUGAUAUAAUAAAUAGAGAAGAAUGCCUUAGAAGUUAUUUAAGAGAGAAACACAUUAAGAAGCCUAAAUGGAUUUUUUUACAAACAAUGCACUAAUAAGAAUAAGACCCGUCUACCGUUCAAAAAUGUCCUCACUAUAAUA
rnacentral:lncRNA from 1 species